rnacentral:rRNA from 1 species
UACGUAGGUGGCAAGCGUUGUCCGGAUUUAUUGGGCGUAAAGAGCUCGUAGGCGGUUUGUCGCGUCUGCUGUGAAAAUCCAGGGCUUAACCCUGGACCUGCAGUGGGUACGGGCAGACUAGAGUGCGGUAGGGGAGAUCGGAAUUCCUGGUGUAGCGGUGAAAUGCGCAGAUAUCAGGAGGAACACCGGUGGCGAAGGCGGAUCUCUGGGCCGUAACUGACGCUGAGGAGCGAAAGCAUGGGGAGCGAACAGG